GGCCAGAUAAGUCAGUGGUGAAAGCCCAUCGCUCAACGGUGGAACGGCCAUUGAUACUGUCUGGCUUGAAUUACAAGGAAGUAACUAGAAUAUGUAGUGUAGCGGUGAAAUGCUUAGAGAUUACAUGGAAUACCAAUUGCGAAGGCAGGUUACUACUUGUGGAUUGACGCUGAUGGACGAAAGCGUGGGUAGCGAACAGGAUUAGAUACCCUGGUAGUCCACGCCGUAAACGAUGGAUACUAGCUGUUGGGAGUGACCUCAGUGGCUAAGCGAAAGUGAUAAGUAUCCCACCUGGGGAGUACGGGCGCAAGCCUGAAACUCAAAGGAAUUGACGGGGGCCCGCACAAGCGGUGGAGCAUGUGGUUUAAUUCGAUGAUACGCGAGGAACCUUACCAAGGCUUAAAUGUAGAUUGACCGUUUUGGAAACAGAACUUUCGCAAGACAAUUUACAAGGUGCUGCAUGGUUGUCGUCAGCUCGUGCCGUGAGGUGUCAGGUUAAGUCCUAUAACGAGCGCAACCCCUGUUGUUAGUUGCCAGCGAGUCAAGUCGGGAACUCUAACAAGACUGCCAGUGCAAACUGUGAGGAAGGUGGGGAUGACGUCAAAUCAUCACGGCCCUUACGCCUUGGGCUACACACGUGCUACAAUGGACGGUACAGAGAGCAGCCACUUCGCAAGGAGGAGCGAAUCUACAAAACCGUUCUCAGUUCGGAUCGGAGUCUGCAACUCGACUCCGUGAAGCCGGAAUCGCU
rnacentral:rRNA from 1 species